rnacentral:rRNA from 1 species
UACGUAGGGGGCUAGCGUUGUCCGGAUUUAUUGGGCGUAAAGAGCGUGUAGGCGGCCAGGUAGGUCUGCUGUGAAAACUCGAGGCUCAACCUCGAGAUGUCGGCGGAAACCAUCUGGCUAGAGUCCGGAAGAGGAGAGUGGAAUUCCUGGUGUAGCGGUGAAAUGCGCAGAUAUCAGGAGGAACACCGGUGGCGAAGGCAGCUCUCUGGGACGUUACUGACGCUGAGACGCGAAAGCGUGGGGAGCAAACAGG